rnacentral:pre_miRNA from 1 species
UGGUAACUCCACCACCGUUGGCGAUAUUUGACAGCCAAUGGGAGCUGGAGUUCCCGCG